AUCAUCAAGUGAUGAAUCAUGGAAAAUCUUAGGACACCUUCCUACAUAGCUUCUUUAGCUAUGGAUGAGAUUAACAUUUCCGUUCUGAUGAUGAU
rfam:Jatropha curcas cultivar GZQX0401 scaffold906_44, whole genome shotgun sequence.